GAAAUGAGAUAAGUAAUGUGAAUUGCAGAAUUCAGUGAAUCAUCGAAUCUUUGAACGCACCUUGCGCUCCUUGGUAUUCCUUGGAGCAUGCCUGUUUGAGUAUCAUGAAAUCUUCACAGUAAAUCUUUUGUUAACUCAAUUGGUUUCUACUUUGGUAUUGGAGGUCUUUGCAGCUUCACACCUGCUCCUCUUUGUUCAUUAGCUGGAUCUCAGUGUUAUGCUUGGUUCCACUCGGCGUGAUAAGUUAUCUAUCGCUGAGGACACUGUAAAAGGUGGCCAAGGUAAAUGCAGAUGAACCGCUUCUAAUAGUCCAUUGACUUGGACAAUACUUUUAUGAUCUGAUCUCAAAUCAGGUAGGACUACCCGCUGAACUUAAGC
rnacentral:misc_RNA from 1 species